UACGAAGGGGGGCUAGCGUUGCUCGGAAUCACUGGGCGUAAAGGGUGCGUAGGCGGGUCUUUAAGUCAGGGGUGAAAUCCUGGAGCUCAACUCCAGAACUGCCUUUGAUACUGAAGAUCUUGAGUUCGGGAGAGGUGAGUGGAACUGCGAGUGUAGAGGUGAAAUUCGUAGAUAUUCGCAAGAACACCAGUGGCGAAGGCGGCUCACUGGCCCGAUACUGACGCUGAG
rnacentral:rRNA from 1 species